CUUGUUCCAGCCUUUGUACGAGCAAGGCCUUUGACAAUGGGAAAGUUUCCCGAUAUAGAAGACGAAGAGACCACUGUACCUAAAGUCCAAGGUCUCUUUCAACCAUAAAAUUCUACUGAACUGUGAUUCUACCUCCUACUAUAGGUAAGGGCUAAGCAGCAAAACAUAACUGCUGCCUCCAUUUUGUUAAGAAUGCGGUUUGUACACAGGAUUUUGCAGCGAACACUAUGGUAUUAGCAAAAUUUAUAAGAACAGUCCAUCUAAACCUGUGAUAGCCCACUUGCCCCAAAUGACAGUGGAUGAAGGUGGAAGGACCUCAUGUGCCAGAUCAUUAUAGUCUAUAGAACGAAAGGGUGUAUCUCGGUCCUUUCUUUCCUUUUAAUGAAAUACUUUCUCAUAAUAUGUAAAUACAACCUCAGGCAAUAAAAGGCAGCAAAGUAAAUUAUGCUCCACUAGUCUGAAAAGUGGCUAUACAGAGACAGCAGUAGUGAUGUUU
rnacentral:lncRNA from 1 species